rnacentral:lncRNA from 1 species
AUAAAACAGUGUCUUAAUAAUCAUAUAUAAUACUGACCGUUCCUAGAGCAAGUGGUAAAGGACUUGCUGGUUGGUAUCCGAGGUCCCAAGUUCGAAUCCUAAUUGAUUCAUAUUUCCAGCUAAGUUUAUUUCUAAAUGAAAUAAACGAACCGAAUAGCGUGUUACCUAAGUACUUAUCUCUCUCAAAAAAAAAAAAUCAUAUAUAAUCAUGAUUAUU